UGGUCAUGUGGGCGCCAAGAAUCGGCAUGUAAUCACUGACACACGAAGUCAUAGGAAGAGGUAUUGCGAGAGAGGAAGAUAUUCUGUUUCCAUUUGUAUUGAUUGAGGGGGGAGAGGGGUACUUUCCAACUCCAAAGUGACACGUGUGCGAGUUAUUUAGAUUUUCUUCCGAAGAAGCGAGCCAAGUCGGAAUUUAGGGGGGGAGAGAAAGAAGGUGUGUGGGCAUUCAAGUGGAGCAUUUGGAUGUACUUGAGGGUAAGGAAAGCAUCUGCAAAAGUUUUAACAAACAAUCCGAGAUUUCAAAUGGAGGCUGGAACUAACACUGUCCUUAGCUCUCCUCUCCACCCACACCCCGCCGCUGAAGCCCCCACCCAGGGGCCGCGACAAAACCUCAAAUUCACAGGUGCCGAUGCAGCAGACAUGGGAAAAAAGGGAAGCGCUUAAUCAGAGGGGAAUCCCCUACUGGGCGACUCGAAAAGACACGCCUCACCUACAUGGUAAUCGUAGUGGUCGUCAUCGUGGUGGUGACGUUGAUGAGCCGACCACGCAUUUGCGGGGUCUAAAUCGGCGACCAUGCCCAGGUGGGUCCGACGCUGUGACCUGGGCACCGCAACCA
rnacentral:lncRNA from 1 species